UGUUCUAACACAUUAUGAACUCAAGAAGUGUAUAUAUAUAUAAUAAAACGAACAUACGAAACAAAUGUCAACAUAUUUAAAAUACACAAGGGUUCCAUAUACAAUAAUGUUCAAGAUGAGCAACGUGUACAUAAAUUAACAUAAACCCAAGUGUCUAAUGAGUUAGAGCACUUGUAGGUUAUUACGCGCUAAUUGGAUACCCGAACUGCUAGCAUACAUACGGACGCAAACUUGUAACUAAGUGGAUCUUGGUGCAACAAAUUAUGAAGUUUCAAGUUUACUAUGAAGACGAUGUCAUCCGUAUUUUGGAGGGUUUGAUCCAUAUAUCCCGUCUUCGAACGGGACAUAGGAUGCAAAACCUCGUUAUUUCAAAAACUUUAUUUUGAACAAGUCUUGUUUGUAGAACUUAUAAACUUAUGUUGUCUUUUGCUACAAAACAACUUAUGACUUGUAUCUUUACAUUAUGGAAUGGAUGAACAUCGUGUAUGUUUUAUAUCAUAUAGUUUGUUUACUUA